AAAUUGAUAUCUUCUCUUUCUCUUGAUAUCUUUGAUAUCUUGAUAUCUUUCUCUUUCAAGCAUUCUUCCUCCUCCAUUUCCCAGAGGCCAAUUCCACAUAAUGGUGUUUUAUUCAAAGAGGAGAAAAAACAAAUGAACACAACUGAUUAAUAUAUUGAAAAAGUCUGAAAAUAUGUGCAAUGUGUAACACCUAUGGGUCUCCCAAUACCACAAAGAAGUAGGUUGACGGUAGCAGGCAGGAAAAAAAAAAAAACACGUAAAGGAGGGCAGAAGAUGAAAAGAUUAGAAGUAAGGAAUGUCAAAGCUAGAUAAAAUUGAAGCCCAGAAAGGAGUGAUGCUCUCAAGGUCGUCAAAUUAAUUAAAGGAAGAAUUUGGACAGGAUCCAUCACAGAAAGAAAUUCUAUUUGAACUAAAAUCUUUUAAAAAUCACAUUUCAUUAAUAUUAACAUUCAUUUUUAAAAAUUUUGAGUUCCAAA
rnacentral:lncRNA from 1 species